CUCUGGCCUCAAAUCAGGUAGGACUACCCGCUGAACUUAAGCAUAUCAAUAAGCGGAGGAAAAGAAACUAACAAGGAUUCCCCUAGUAACGGCGAGUGAACCGGGAAAAGCUCAAAUUUGAAAUCUGGCUGUCUUCGAUAGUCCGAGUUGUAAUCUAUAGAAGCGUUUUCCGUGCUGAACUGUGUCUAAGUCCCUUGGAACAGGGUAUCAAAGAGGGUGAUAAUCCCGUACUUGACACAACCAUCAGUGCUCUGUGAUACGUUCUCUACGAGUCGAGUUGUUGGGGAAAUGCA
rnacentral:rRNA from 1 species